AAUACCAUGGAUCACAUAUGUGUAGGUAGGUGGCAGAAAUGUUAUGCCUAUACUCAGUUUUCUGACCUAUGAACAUCUGAAUUAUUAGUAGCCUAACAUU
ensembl:snoRNA